CCUACGGGUGGCAGCAGUAGGGAAUAUUGCUCAAUGGGGGAAACCCUGAAGCAGCAACGCCGCGUGGAGGAUGAAGGUUUUCGGAUUGUAAACUCCUUUUGUUAGAGAAGAUAAUGACGGUAUCUAACGAAUAAGCACCGGCUAACUCCGUGCCAGCAGCCGCGGUAAUACGGAGGAUGCGAGCGUUAUCCGGAUUUAUUGGGUUUAAAGGGUGCGCAGGCGGCGUGUCAAGUCAGCGGUAUAAUGUCGGGGCUCAACCCCGGCCGGCCGUUGAAACUGGCGUGCUCGAGUUGGAGAGAAGUAUGCGGAAUUCGUGGUGUAGCGGUGAAAUGCAUAGAUAUCACGAAGAACCCCGAUUGCGAAGGCAGCAUACCGGCUCCACACUGACGCUGAGGCACGAAAGCGUGGGUAUCGAACAGGAUUAGAUACCCCAGUAGUC
rnacentral:rRNA from 1 species